UGGGGAAUAUUGCACAAUGGGCGAAAGCCUGAUGCAGCAACGCCGCGUGAGUGAUGAAGGUCUUCGGAUUGUAAAGCUCUGUCUUUUGGGACGAUAAUGACGGUACCAAAGGAGGAAGCCACGGCUAACUACGUGCCAGCAGCCGCGGUAAUACGUAGGUGGCGAGCGUUGUCCGGAUUUACUGGGCGUAAAGGGUGCGUAGGCGGAUGUUUAAGUGAGAUGUGAAAUACCCGGGCUUAACUUGGGUGCUGCAUUUCAAACUGGAUAUCUAGAGUGCAGGAGAGGAGAAUGGAAUUCCUAGUGUAGCGGUGAAAUGCGUAGAGAUUAGGAAGAACACCAGUGGCGAAGGCGAUUCUCUGGACUGUAACUGACGCUGAGGCACGAAAGCGUGGGUAGCAAACAGGAUUAGAUACCCUGGUAGUCCACGCCGUAAACGAUGAGUACUA
rnacentral:rRNA from 1 species